CGCGGACGGACCAGCGGCAAACGGCAGCUCGUCUCUCGUUUUAUUGUCUCCGUCGCGUACUAGUAAUAACUCAUCCGAGGCGACUGCCACUGCCCGGUGUAGGCUUUCACGCUCUGAAGUGUCAGUGACGUUUGCGUCAAAAAAAUACCGCAUUUUCUGUCAACUGCCGCGGGCCGAAAUUUCGUGUCUCUUGCGUGACAUUACCGCUCAGAGAGGAUAAUUUGCAGCUGAUUAAGGUUCUUGCUGCUGUGAAGGUGCUCCACUUGCGGAAGACUACUUUUGAAGGAUCAACGUUAUACAGUAUUUUUCGGAGACAGCAGCGCCACCAAGGCUGAACACGCGUCCUCCGGGCUGCCUGCAGCGCUGUGUGCCAG